AGGGGUGUCGUUCAGUGGUAGGACGCUCGUCUCCAAAACGGGCAACGAUAGUUCGAUUCUAUCCACCCCUG
rnacentral:tRNA from 1 species